rnacentral:rRNA from 1 species
GACGAACGCUGGCGGCGUGCUUAACACAUGCAAGUCGAACGGAAAGGCCCUGCUUUUGUGGGGUGCUCGAGUGGCGAACGGGCGAGUAACACGUGAGUAACCUGCCCUUGACUUUGGGAUAACUUCAGGAAACUGGGGCUAAUACCGGAUAGGAGCUCCUGCUGCACGGUGGGGGUUGGAAAGUUUCGGCGGUUGGGGAUGGACUCGCGGCUUAUCAGCUUGUUGGUGGGGUAGUGGCUUACCAAGGCUUUGACGGGUAGCCGACCUGGGAGGGUGACCGGCCACAAUGGGACUGAGGUACGGCCCAGACUCCUACGGGAGGCAGCAGUGGGGAAUAUUGCGCAAUGGGCGGAAGCCUGAUGCAGCGACGCCGCGUGCGGGAUGACGGCCUUCGGGUUGUAAACCGCUUUCGCCUGUGACGAAGCGUGAGUGACGGUAAUGGGUAAAGAAGCACCGGCUAACUACGUG